GACGAACGCUGGCGGCGUGCCUAAUACAUGCAAGUAGAACGCACAGUUUAUACCGUAGCUUGCUACACCAUAGACUGUGAGUUGCGAACGGGUGAGUAACGCGUAGGUAACCUGCCUGGUAGCGGGGGAUAACUAUUGGAAACGAUAGCUAAUACCGCAUAAUAUUAAUUAUUGCAUGAUAAUUAAUUGAAAGGUGCAAUUGCACCACUACCAGAUGGACCUGCGUUGUAUUAGCUAGUAGGUGAGGUAACGGCUCACCUAGGCGACGAUACAUAGCCGACCUGGGAGGGUGAUCGGCCACACUGGGACUGGGACACGGCCCAGACUCCUACGGGAGGCAGCAGUAGGGAAUCUUCGGCAAUGGACGAAAGUCUGACCGAGCAACGCCGCGUGAGUGAAGAAGGUUUUCGGAUCGUAAAGCUCUGUUGUAAGAGAAGAACGGGUGUGAGAGUGGAAAGUUCACACUGUGACGGUAUCUUACCAGAAAGAGACGGCUAACUACGUG
rnacentral:rRNA from 1 species